AUUUUUGCUUCAGUCUCGGUGAAAGACUAGGCAAGAAAGCAUCAGGAUGCCACGAAAGCGUCAGCAGAAAGUACUAGCUCCUGUCCCAGAGGACGAAGAACUCGUCGAGGAUUCUCCGAAAGAAGACUCCAAAAGCUUGGACGAGAAUGUCAUGCAGCUCAUUGAUGCUCUCGAGCAGCAAGGUUUGCUCAUUGCGUUGUGCACUCCCUCUGCUUUGCAGCAUUCUUUCUAAACGUUCUCUUGUUGUUGAGAAAAAUUCUUUGGUGUGCACAGUCCAGGAGCGUGCAGAGAGCUUGUUGGACGCAGCAGAAGCAGAGUGCAGAGAGAUACUGAACCUGUUUGCUGUCCAGCUUGUUAAGUUGCCC
rnacentral:lncRNA from 1 species